rnacentral:lncRNA from 1 species
CUGUUUUAUUCCUUUAACAAAGUAUUUCAUUUAAGAGGGUAAUACUGUAAUUUAACUGUUUGGCUUCUCAAGGUACAAAUUUAGGCCUUGUUUCUGCAGUGUCUCUGUGGUGGGAAUGAUCCAGAAGGUUCAUCCUGAGAUGCAGCCUCAAUGCCUAAACAGCUGGAAGAGCUACAGAAAACUUCAUUGAGUGAUGUGGGCCCACAAGAAAGAGGGUAUCUGAAUGUAUGCAUGACGUGAUACAGUGUAAUAGACCAAGAGUUUGGACUAGUGCUGGCUUUUGUCUGAUCUUCAUCAGCUGGAGUUGAGGUUUGUAAAACUGUCCAGAACACUGCUGUUGUUUUAGUCAAACACCUUCAGCAAACACCUUCAAUUUUGAUGUAGGAAAUGACUAAAUAAUUUGGAUCUGAG